rnacentral:rRNA from 1 species
GAUGAACGCUGGCGGCGUGCCUAAUACAUGCAAGUCGAGCGAACAGACGAGGAGCUUGCUCCUCUGACGUUAGCGGCGGACGGGUGAGUAACACGUGUAUAACCUACCUAUAAGACUGGGAUAACUUCGGGAAACCGGAGCUAAUACCGGAUAAUAUAUUGAACCGCAUGGUUCAAUAGUGAAAGACGGUUUUGCUGUCACUUAUAGAUGGAUCCGCGCCGCAUUAGCUAGUUGGUAAGGUAACGGCUUACCAAGGCGACGAUGCGUAGCCGACCUGAGAGGGUGAUCGGCCACACUGGAACUGAGACACGGUCCAGACUCCUACGGGAGGCAGCAGUAGGGAAUCUUCCGCAAUGGGCGAAAGCCUGACGGAGCAACGCCGCGUGAGUGAUGAAGGUCUUCGGAUCGUAAAACUCUGUUAUUAGGGAAGAACAAAUGUGUAAGUAACUAUGCACGUCUUGACGGUACCUAAUCAGAAAGCCACGGCUAACUAUGUG